rnacentral:rRNA from 1 species
UACGUGGGGGGCAAGCGUUAUCCGGAUUUACUGGGUGUAAAGGGAGCGUAGACGGCUUUGCAAGCCAGAUGUGAAAGCCCGGGGCUCAACCCCGGGACUGCAUUUGGAACUGUGUGGCUAGAGUAUCGGAGAGGCAGGCGGAAUUCCUAGUGUAGCGGUGAAAUGCGUAGAUAUUAGGAGGAACACCAGUGGCGAAGGCGGCCUGCUGGACGAUGACUGACGUUGAGGCUCGAAAGCGUGGGGAGCAAACAGG